rnacentral:rRNA from 1 species
CCUACGGGAGGCAGCAGUGAGGAAUAUUGGUCAAUGGCCGGAAGGCUGAACCAGCCAUGCCGCGUGAAGGUCAGUGCCCUAUGGGCGUUAAACUUCUUUUGUGCGGGAGCAAUAAUGGUCACGUGUGGCCAGACGAGAGUACCGUACGAAUAAGCAUCGGCUAACUCAGUGCCAGCAGCCGCGGUAAUACGGGGGAUGCAAGCGUUAUCCGGAUUUAUUGGGUUUAAAGGGUGCGUAGGCUGUGAGGUAAGUCAGCGGUGAAAUGCCCCCGCUCAACGGGGUGAAGUGCCAUUGAUACUGCCUUGCUGGAAUGCGGAUGCCGUGGGAGGAAUGUGUGGUGUAGCGGUGAAAUGCAUAGAUAUCACACAGAACACCGAUUGCGAAGGCAGCUCACGAAUCCGCGAUUGACGCUGAUGCACGAAAGCGUGGGUAUCAAACAGGAUUAGAUACCCCUGUAGUC